ACUCCUACGGGAGGCAGCAGUGGGGAAUAUUGCGCAAUGGGGGCAACCCUGACGCAGCCAUGCCGCGUGAAUGAAGAAGGCCUCGGGUUGUAAAGUUCUUUCGGUGAUGAGGAAGGGAGUUAUGUUAAUAGCAUAAUUCAUUGACGUUAGUCACAGAAGAAGCACCGGCUAACUCCGUGCCAGCAGCCGCGGUAAUACGGAGGGUGCGAGCGUUAAUCGGAAUAACUGGGCGUAAAGGGCACGCAGGCGGUGACUUAAGUGAGGUGUGAAAUCCCCGGGCUUAACCUGGGGAAUUGCAUUUCAGACUGGGUCGGCUAGAGUACUUUAGGGAGGGGUAGAAUUCCACGUGUAGCGGUGAAAUGCGUAGAGAUGUGGAGGAAUACCGAAGGCGAAGGCAGCCCCUUGGGAAUGUACUGACGCUCAUGUGCGAAAGCGUGGGAGCAAACAGGAUUAGAUACCCUGGUAGCGACUGA
rnacentral:rRNA from 1 species